rnacentral:rRNA from 1 species
UGGGGAAUAUUGGACAAUGGGCGCAAGCCUGAUCCAGCAAUGCCGCGUGUGUGAAGAAGGCCUUAGGGUUGUAAAGCACUUUCAGUGGGGAGAAAGUUGCGAGUAUUAAUACUAUUCGUAAUUGAUGUUACCCACAGAAGAAGCACCGGCUAACUCUGUGCCAGCAGCCGCGGUAAUACAGAGGGUGCAAGCGUUAAUCGGAAUUACUGGGCGUAAAGCGUGUGUAGGUGGUUGUGUAAGUUAGAUGUGAAAUCCCCGGGCUCAACCUGGGAAUUGCGUUUAAAACUGCGUAGCUAGAGUAUUGUAGAGGAUAGUGGAAUUUCCAGUGUAGCGGUGAAAUGCGUAGAUAUUGGAAGGAACACCAGUGGCGAAGGCGACUAUCUGGGCAAAUACUGACACUGAGACACGAGAGCAUGGGGAGCAAACAGG